rnacentral:rRNA from 1 species
UACAGAGGGUGCGAGCGUUAAUCGGAAUUACUGGGCGUAAAGCGCACGUAGUCGGCUUUGCAAGUCGGGUGUGAAAUCCCCGGGCUCAACCUGGGAACUGCAUCCGAGACUGCAUUGCUAGAGUAUGGGAGAGGGAAGCGGAAUUUCUGGUGUAGCAGUGAAAUGCGUAGAUAUCAGAAGGAACAUCAGUGGCGAAGGCGGCUUCCUGGACCAAUACUGACGAUCAGGUGCGAAAGCGUGGGGAGCAAAAGGG